rnacentral:tRNA from 1 species
AAGGGUUUAAGUUAAAUAAAAUUAAUAGUUUUCAAAAUUAUUUUUAAAGAAAACUUUUUUUAAGCCUUA